rnacentral:rRNA from 1 species
UACGGGGGGAGCAAGCGUUGUUCGGAUUUACUGGGCGUAAAGGGCGCGUAGGCGGUCGUGACAAGUCACUCGUGAAAUCUCCGGGCUUAACUCGGAACGGUCAAGUGAUACUGUCGGACUAGAGUACAGAAGGGGCAACUGGAAUUCUCGGUGUAGCGGUGAAAUGCGUAGAUAUCGAGAGGAACACCAGUGGCGAAGGCGGCUAUCUGGACGGUUUCUGACGCUAAGACGCGAAAGCGUGGGGAGCAAACAGG